GACGAACGCUGGCGGCGUGCCUAACACAUGCAAGUCGAACGGAGAUUCAGAUGAAGCUUGCGAUUCUGAAUCUUAGUGGCGGACGGGUGAGUAACGCGUGGGUAAUCUGCCCUUAAGUGGGGGAUAACAGUCGGAAACGACUGCUAAUACCGCAUAAGCUGGCGGGAACACAUGUUUCUGUCAGGAAAGGUGGCCUCUUAACAAUGCUACCGCUUAAGGAUGAGCCCGCGUCUGAUUAGCUAGUAGAUGGGGUAAUGGCCUACCUAGGCGACGAUCAGUAGCCGGCCUGAGAGGGUGUACGGCCACACUGGGACUGAGACACGGCCCAGACUCCUACGGGGGCAGCAGUAGGGAAUCUUCGGCAAUGGGCGAAGCCUGACCGAGCGACGCCGCGUGAGGGACGAAGGCCUUCGGGUUGUAAACCGUCUGUCGUGGGGGACGGAGUAAGGAACGGUACCCCGGACGGAACGGCCCCGGCGUAACUACGUG
rnacentral:rRNA from 1 species